AUUGAACGCUGGCGGCAUGCUUUACACAUGCAAGUCGAACGGUAACAGGGUGCUUGCACCGCUGACGAGUGGCGAACGGGUGAGUAAUGCGUCGGAACGUGCCGAGUAGUGGGGGAUAACGCAGCGAAAGUUGUGCUAAUACCGCAUACGUACUGAGGUAGAAAGUGGGGGACCUUCGGGCCUCACGCUAUUCGAGCGGCCGACGUCUGAUUAGCUAGUAGGUGAGGUAAAGGCUCACCUAGGCGACGAUCAGUAGCGGGUCUGAGAGGAUGAUCCGCCAAACUGGGACUGAGACACGGCCCAGACUCCUACGGGAGGCAGCAGUGGGGAAUAUUGGACAAUGGGCGGAAGCCUGAUCCAGCCAUGCCGCGUGUGUGAAGAAGGCCUUUUGGUUGUAAAGCACUUUAAGCGAGGAGGAGGCUCUUAUGGUUAAUACCCUUGAUGAGUGGACGUUACUCGCAGAAUAAGCACCGGCUAACUCUGUGCCAGCCGCCGCGGUAACAC
rnacentral:rRNA from 1 species